CAGAGCUGGGGUUCUAGGAUUCCACGGAGUAGCAGAGACCUCUGCAGCCUUCUGGGGAAAUGUGCUGUGUUUCCGCAGCAUUCUGACCACAAUGCCAGAAGACAAUACGGAAUUACUCAGUACAUGAAGCACCAGGAAGAUGACAACAGAAGAGAGAGGACCCAGACAUUGGAAUCAGCAGCCACCAGGUGCAAUCUCCAACAUGUGCGGGCUUUGGGAAAACACAAUCGGGCAAGUGAAGUUUGUUGCAGACAAGUUCUUCUUCCCCUCUGCCACAACCUCCUCCAAGGCACUCUCUCCUGCCCACGGAUCUUGCUUGGGAAAGGAAUGGGGCAAGUGGAAAUGGCCAUUUCUUAGAUGAACACAUCAGGGACUUGCUCCAGUCUGAAGUCUAUACAGAGCUAGGCUUUGAAUCCAGUCACGUAACUGCAUAGCAGCAAAUCAGCCUUUCAGAAUAUUGCAGGAUCAGCAAUGAAAUUCCCUUUGCCAGAGAAAUGGACAAACAAGGAAGCAACAAUGGUGAUGGUGGAAGUGUUCUUCAAGUCUAAGUUUGGGUUCUAGAAACAUCUGGCCAAAUAACGUCUUUCACAACUAAAAUAGAAUAUAAAGAAGCCAUUUGACCUGCCUCAGUUAUCAUGGUCAUCAUGACAAGCUGCAGCAGGACAAAUCAGCUUAACAAUUUCG
rnacentral:lncRNA from 10 species